rnacentral:rRNA from 1 species
UAGCAGAGAUGCUUUAGUGCCUUCGGGAACCGUGAGACAGGUGCUGCAUGGCUGUCGUCAGCUCGUGUUGUGAAAUGUUGGGUUAAGUCCCGCAACGAGCGCAACCCUUAUCCUUUGUUGCCAGCACGUAAUGGUGGGAACUCAAAGGAGACUGCCGGUGAUAAACCGGAGGAAGGUGGGGAUGACGUCAAGUCAUCAUGGCCCUUACGAGUAGGGCUACACACGUGCUACAAUGGCAGAUACAAAGUGAAGCGAACUCGCGAGAGCAAGCGGACCACAUAAAGUCUGUCGUAGUCCGGAUUGGAGUCUGCAACUCGACUCCAUGAAGUCGGAAUCGCUAGUAAUCGUAGAUCAGAAUGCUACGGUGAAUACGUUCCCGGGCCUUGUACACACCG